ensembl:lncRNA
AGCCUCCUGGCUCAGCUGCACCCUGACACCCCCCUCGCCCGGCUGGAACCUCCAUCACACAGGCCAGCCCCCAUCAGACUGGGGUGGCGGACGCUGGCCAGAAGCGUGAGUCUGGAACGAACCAGGACUCCAGGGAGAUAUGGAAGAACGCCCCGGCACUGCUGGCCUCCCCCGGUGCCCGGUGUCCGCGGACACACUCGCCCCUGUGCUGAGCCGGGAGACCCAAAGCCAAGCCGCCUGGGUGGGCCCUGAGACCGUCCCGUCACCUGGGGCUGCUGCCUCCGCGGGCGCUCAUUACACGUUACAUUCUUCUUGUAUCAGCAUCGCUCGCGCCGCCUGCAAAGCAGGGACUGAAAGCACCAGAGAGCGAGCGGAGGGCGGCGCGCAGAGAAGAGCCGGGAGCGCACGGUUCGACCGCAGUCGCCUCCGCGGCGAGGAGGGCGCGGGGCGCGCGGAGCUGGGGCCGCACCGGCAGCUGCAGCCUCGCCCCCUCGGGGCGGCCCUAGCUGCACAUGGGGUGCAGCCUCCUGCCCCAACCCGUCUUCUUCCCACGCGCCGACUUGGAGCCCGUGGGCGGCUGAGCCCUGGGCCGGCCUCGGCCUGCGUCCCGGCUUCCGCGCGCCUCUUCCUGCUCUUGCUUCCCGCCGCUUCCUCCUGGGUUUUCGUCUCGGGACGGCGCCCCUCCAGCCUCGGCCGCCGCUCCCCUCCUCUCGGGCUUUGCGGGUCGCUGACGGGGCGGGAGCUGACGCCGCCUGCUCGACCCAGGGCCCUGCAGGCCGUGCGGGCCCGCUUGGGCCAGGGGCUUCCUGGCCGCCGGGUCCUCGGACUAGGACUCCUCGCUCUCCGCGCCCUCCGACGCCUCCUCCGAGCCUGUGUCCUAAGCCCCCUCCAACGCCUCCUCCGACUACCGGUUCCCGCGGGCGGCCUGCAGCGCCAAGACCUCCCCCAGGACCUCGGUGGCCACCUGGCGGCCUGCCUCCUGCACCUUCACGCGGUUCGGAGGUGUCCUCGGCCAUGACAGACAGGACCUGGAGCAGGGUCUCUUGUCUUCCUUGUCCUUCAGCCCAGCGACUCCAUCGCUGAAGCGAUUUUCAACACCUCAUCCUGGGCAGAGGGGUCUGUGUAAGCCCCAAUGGCCACAAACUCAGGAUUGUCCACCCUCUCUUUUUCUUGAUCCCCGUUUUCCUGGGACUCGCUUUGGGCGGCGUCCUUGUCCGUGGUCUCCUCAUCCGACUGGUCUCCCACUGCAAGUAUGGCCGAUCAGUCGACCCCUCCCUGGGUGUGGGGUGGGGAGUGGGGGUGAGGGGAAAUCUUUCCUCUUCUUGGCUUUGUCCGUCACCGUUGCCAGGGCCAAGAACUCACGGAGGACCUUGCCCCUCAUCUCCUUGGCUCUAGAGGGCCCACUACCUAAGUAACUCCUCCUCAGCGGCCUGCAGCAUGCUAUGACCCUCAUCCCCGCUUAGGCCCUCCCCGUCCAUCUCCUGAAUCACGAGCCCCAGGCUCUCCUCAGAAGAGUCUUCGGACUCCCGCUUCCCCGCUGUGGAUGGCCGCCCUCCACAGUCCCUCUUCUUGCCCUUCUGGGUCCAUCUGCUGCCUCUGGUUCCGUUUCAGCGAUCUCGAUGACCGGAUGUUCUAGCAUCUUUGGCUGCACCAGGAGCGAGGUCAGCCUGCCUGACCGCCGGCUCCUAUCCGCGGGCCUGGGUCUCCAAAGCGGGAGGGGUGGACCUGUCUCCGGAGACCCUGGCCACUGCCGCCUCGCGGGGAGGGGAGAAGUUCAUAUAGCAGCCACCGUCUCAUCUGCCUCAGGACCCUCGUGUCCGACGCGCUUUCCUUGCACAGAACCCUCCAGACGCCGUCCCUGCCCCGAUCUGCCUGGGGAUGGCGCCAUGAUUAAUUUUCUCCACAAACUCCAUCACGGUGGCCUUGGCCUUCUCGACCCUCAUGGCCCUGGCGCUCCUCAGCCCGAACGUGCCCUGGGGCAGGAAGACCGGCUGCAGGACGGCUUGGAUGGCCGCCGGCUCCACGUUCUCUGGGAGGCCCCGUGCACGUCCAGGGCCAGCCCCCUGCAUCAGUCCCCCCGGAGGGCCCGUGGCCACGGUGCCGCCUCUGGCGCUGAUCGCGGGGCAGGAGGGAGCCCGAGGCGCACAUGGGCUGCGGGGCCCUGGGCAAAUGCCACCCUGGAACAGCGCCGCAGGGCCUGGAGUUCAGGUUCAGGUGAACGUGGCCAGGUUCGGGCUCCUGCUGCUCCCGGGCGGCUGACCCGGCGGCCCUUCCCGAGGCUCUCUCCUCAUGGGGGUCCUAGCACCCACAGGGAGUUUGCGUGGCAAAUCCAGGGGUGCCACCGGCCCCUCCGCUCCGCCUUUUGUGCCUGACCGAGGCGGGGUGACACGGCGGCGCCCGGGUCAGGUGCUGGGGAGGGCGGCGCGGUUGGCACCUAGAGCGGCUGGGAAAGGCGCGUCCCCUUCGCCCAGCCGCGGCCACGUCUGGCCGUGCGCCCUUCGCUCAGUCUGCAGUUCUGCUGGGAGGCGGCUGCUCGGCCCUGCGCCUGCGCACACAGGCUUGCCCUGCUCCCAGCUGGGCCGCGUCACCAUGGCAACGCCAGGGCUGCAGCCUGGGUCGCAGUUGCUGGGGUCUGAAGGGAUCCAGCUCUAGACCAGCCCAAGCAAAGGAAGACUCUGGGGGUUGGGAUCACCAUCAGUGAUGAGCCCCCCCAAAGGCCAUAUUCACAGGGGGCGAGACAGCAGUUAGGGAGACCCGCGAUCUCCUUCAGAGGUAGACGCUGCUAGCCCUCCACCGAGUACAGGUGGCGUUCAGGCUGCAGAGACCUAGAUCAAGGGCCUCUGGCCGCCCACGGUGGAACGAGGACUCACUCUUGGGGUGCAAGCCACGCUCAGAGUUUUCGGGCCUCACUCGGUGGGAAUCGGCUUCAGUAAGGAUACACAGGCCUCAGCUGCGAGGUGCUGGCACCCUUUAGGGUCCACAACCCUCACUGAUGGGGUCCGGCCUCGCUCAGUGAGGCCUCGCUCUUACGGAUGUUUCUGGAGCCGGUAUACCUACUAUUAACUGUGUGUUUUUGCAUAUGGUUCAUGUGUGGGUGUGAUCAGCAGUGAGAUUAGACAACACUUCCGGAAAAGACCUUGAUCCUGACUUGAUCCACAGGCUGGCAUGGGUGAAUGUCAUAGCUACCCCGAACACACUUCCCCUUCAUCAUCCUUGCUAACCCUCACCCCAACUCUACGUAAAUUACGCGCUGUGGCCCAGCCAUUGGGCUUCUGCUGCUGCCCUCGCUAUGACUCUGGGAAGUUUCCUGGGCUUCUCUACACCUCAGUUUGCCCCUCUGUGAAAUGGCCAUAACCAUUAACCCUACUCAUAGGAUCCUUGGGCUUCUCUGGUGGCUCAGAUGUUAAAGAAUCUGCCUGCCACACAGGAGAGCCGGGUUUGAUCCCUGGGUUGGAAAGACCCCCUGGAGAAUGGAAUGGCAACCCAUUCCAGUCUUCUUGCCUGGGAAAUCCCAUGGACAGAGGAACCUGGCGGGCUACACUCCAUAGGGUGGCAAAGAGUCAGACGCGACUGAGUGACUAACACUUUCACUUUUCACUUUCAUAGGAUCCUUAUGGGGAUUAAAUGGGAUGAUCCCCGAAAGCCCUUGGAACAGAGGUUGGCCCAGAGCUGGUGCUCCCUGAAAGAUGGCAAUUGGAAUUCAUUCUUUCUUGACCCUUUAUACAAUCAUUUAAUAUAAAUAUAUACAUUUAAUUGUCAAAUAAAUAUAUAAAUAAAGAAGGAAAUUUUUAAAAAAGAAACCAAAACACUUUGUUUUUGUUGUUUUUAAUGUAGGAAGAGAGUUUAUUGCAAGGUUACCAUGGCAACUGGUCCUAGGGCAAACCAAACUGCUUACUCACUCUCCUACCUACCCCCCAG